rnacentral:rRNA from 1 species
AGCGAGCGCUGGCGGCAGGCUUAACACAUGCAAGUCGAACGCCCCGCAAGGGGAGUGGCAGACGGGUGAGUAACACGUGGGAACGUACCCUUUGGUUCGGAAUAACUUGGGGAAACUCAAGCUAAUACCGGAUAAGCCCUUAUGGGGAAAGGUUUACUGCCGAAGGAUCGGCCCGCGUCUGAUUAGCUAGUUGGUGAGGUAAUGGCUCACCAAGGCGACGAUCAGUAGCUGGGCUGAGAGGAUGAUCAGCCACACUGGGACUGAGACACGGCCCAGACUCCUACGGGAGGCAGCAGUGGGGAAUAUUGGACAAUGGGGGCAACCCUGAUCCAGCCAUGCCGCGUGAGUGAUGAAGGCCUUAGGGUUGUAAAGCUCUUUUACCCGGGACGAUAAUGACUGUACCGGGAGAAUAAGCCCCGGCUAACUUCGUGCCAGCAGCCGCGGUAA